rnacentral:rRNA from 1 species
UACGUAGGGGGCAAGCGUUGUCCGGAAUCAUUGGGCGUAAAGAGCGCGUAGGCGGUCCGGUAAGUCAGAUGUGAAAGUCAAGGGCUCAACCCUUGAAAGCCGGUUGAUACUGUCGGGCUAGAGUCCGGAAGAGGCGAGUGGAAUUCCUGGUGUAGCGGUGAAAUGCGUAGAUAUCAGGAGGAACACCGGUGGCGAAGGCGGCUCUCUGGACCACAACUGACGCUGAGGCGCGAAAGCUAGGGGAGCAAACAGG